rnacentral:rRNA from 1 species
AUUGAACGCUGGCGGCAGGCCUAACACAUGCAAGUCGAACGAGUGGCGGACGGGUGAGUAAUGUCUGGGAAACUGCCUGAUGGAGGGGGAUAACUACUGGAAACGGUAGCUAAUACCGCAUACCAUCGGAUGUGCCCAGAUGGGAUUAGAUUGUUGGUGGGGUAACGGCACACCAAGGCGACGAUCCCUAGCUGGUCUGAGAGGAUGACCAGCCACACUGGAACGGAAGAACGGUCAAUACUCCUACGAGAGGCAGCAGUGGGAAAUAUUGCACAAUGGGCGCAAGCCUGAUGCAGCCAUGCCGCGUGUAUGAAGAGGGCCUUCGGGUUGUAAAGUACUUUCAGCGGGGAGGCGUUACCCGCAGAAGAAGCACCGGCUAACUCCGGGCCAGCAGCCGCGGUAAUAC